AACGUCUCUGAAAGAAAAUAGAGCAUCAAUUAAAUUCACCUUAAGGCUAAGAUAUUAGUUAGUCUAUUCUAGGUUAAAAAUAGACAGUGAUUUCCAGGAUUUCAGUUAUGAUUAUUCUUUUUAGGUGACUAAAAUGUAAAGAGAUGAGUGGGAGGACUUGCCACAGAAGCAACAAAGACCGAGAAGGCAAUACACUUUGUGAUACCAUUUCCUUACUUUGGGCAGCAGAGCAAUUCGCUGAAGUUGCAGUAACAGAUCAUCUCACAUCCCUUCCCAUCCCAGAAAUGAUCCUGGACAUUGACAUCAAUCUGUGUCAGGUGCCAAAGUAUCUUUCCUUCCUUGGAAAGAGGGAAAACAGAUGGAGGACAUUGUACUUGGAAAGAAAACAAUAUUGUGGAAUAGCCAGACGUGGUGGCUCACACCUGUAAUCCCAGCACUUUGGGAGGCCAAACCCGGCAGAUCACCUGAGGCUUGACUCCUUCUGGGCUCACCAAGGCUGGCAGUAUGGGGAGAAGCAGCAGCUGGUUUCGGCCUUCACAGCUCACAUCUUCCCAGGAGAGAGGUCCUGAGUUAUUGCCCUAAUCUUCUCAAAGCUGUUUCACAGACACAAGCAUCUGGCUCUACACUGCCCUGUGGAAGAGCUGCCUUGGGUGUAGGAAUAAGGUUGAAGACCCUUCCUGGAUUCUGAGAAUUACCACAAACUUGCAUUCCUGGAAUACAGAAUGAAAAGACCCUGCCACAAUGAGGGGCUGAGUAAUUAAUUGCCUGAAACACAUGGGUAGUCUGAAAUUUGAGAUUCUUAUAAAGGUGUGACUCACAGCUUUCUUAGAAAAAGAGAACAAAUAUCCAUUGCACCAGGAACAGGGAAAUUUCCCUCCCAUCUUCUUCUCUUUCCUAUUAGGAUCUCAUUCUGUAGCCCAGGAUGAAGAGCAGUGGCAUAAUCAUAGCCCACUUCAGCUUUGACCUCUCAGUCUCAAGUGAUAGUCCCCCCACAGCCUCCUGAGUAGCUGGGACCACAGGCAUGCACCACCAUACCCAGAAGCCACUGUGGAAGAUGACGAAAGGAAAAUGAAUCACAGAUGAGGAAGAAACAAAAACAAAUGAAAUAAAGAAAACGAACGGACACAGACUUUAGGAAUGAUGUUUGAUUCCUAAUUAGGCUUGAUAUUACCAUGUUUGGUUACUGGUGUGUUUUCAUUCAUGUCUUUUGACCUGCUUAAAAAAGGAAAGAGGUCACUUCAAGGGAUCCACAUUUCAAUUUCAGUGUGUGGCACAAUUACUCUAUACUAAGAGUCUACUAGCCGUCAUUCCCACAGUAAGGCCUGGCUUGUUCGUACACUGGGUGCAUCUCUGAUCUAAUUUUAUUAUGGAUGACAGCAUGACAUUCAUUUCCACCACAUUCUACACCGCUCCAAUUCUGAACUUGGCAUGUAAUAGCCAUAAAAUAACAUGAGUAAAGAAGGGGACUCCUGCACAGAACUCUGGAAACCAAUGCCCAAUUUACGAGUCCAAGCAUGCAUGACUACUGUAAACCAGAAUGGUACUAAAACCAAUAGAUAUAUGAGAAGAAAAUGAAUAGUUACGUAAAGGUUUAUUGUAGACACUGGUUCAUUUUCAUAAUUUUAGGUUGAAUAUACCCAGCUGAUGAAAGCUUUGAAAAACUGAGUAUAAUUCCUUAUUAAAAUUAAAAGCACAACCUGUUUUUUUUGUUUGUUUGUUUUUUUGUUUUUUUUUUUUUUUGAG
rnacentral:lncRNA from 1 species